UUUGCUUGUGAACUUCGAAGCCUGAAACUGAAGUUUUUAGAUCUCAUCUCUCCCCCAGUAUUUACUGGAACUCGCAUAGAAGGAGAGGAAUCUAGUUUGAAAGUAGCGCUGGUUGAUGUUCUUACUGGGGAAGUUGUCUGUAGUGGUCCUGAAUCCUGUGCAAAAGUUGAAAUAGUAGUACUUGAGGGAGACUUUGACGGUGAUGAUGGGGACAAUUGGACUGCAGAUGAAUUUAAGAACAACAUUGUGAGAGAAAGGGAAGGAAAGAAACCUCUCCUUACUGGGGAUGCAUUUUUGUAUCUUAAGGAGGGUAUUGGCUGGGUGAGUGAUAUUUCAUUUACUGAUAACUCAAGCUGGACAAGAAGUCGUAAAUUCAGGCUGGGUGCUAGGCUUGUCGAUAGCUUUGAAGGGAUCAGUGUACGAGAGGCGAAGACGGAAUCCUUCAUUGUCAGGGAUCACCGAGGA
rnacentral:misc_RNA from 1 species